rnacentral:rRNA from 1 species
UACGUAGGGAGCAAGCGUUGUCCGGAAUCAUUGGGCGUAAAGCGCGCGUAGGUGGCCAUGUAAGUCCGCUGUGAAAGUCAAAGGCUCAACCUUUGAAAGCCGGUGGAUACUGCACGGCUAGAGUACGGAAGAGGCGAGUGGAAUUCCUGGUGUAGCGGUGGAAUGCGCAGAUAUCAGGAGGAACACCAAUAGCGAAGGCGACUCA